rnacentral:rRNA from 1 species
AUGGGAAUUACUAUAGACCGAGAAGCACGAAAUUAUGAGGUGCAUGAGUUAGUUGUUGAACACAACCAUGUCUUGCAAUUACCUGGGACAAGCCACUUGAUGCCAUCACAGAGGAAGAUUUCAGCCUUGCAAGCAUUUGAAAUUGAAACAACAGAUGAUUCAGGAAUUGUACCGAGAAAAGCCCAUGAGUUAGCAAGUCGCCAAGUUGGCGGUCCACUGAACCUUGGCUACACAUGUCGUGAUCGCAAGAACCACUUGAGAACCAGGCGACAAAGGGACUUGAUGUAUGGCACUUACCUCAUAAGAAAAAAGACGAGGAUGGACCAAAUGUACUUGCUGAUUUCAGUGCUUGCAUGUACAAGUAUGAGGAAGAGGAAGCCUUUGAAGACGCUUUCAAUGCCAUAA